rnacentral:lncRNA from 1 species
UUUGAUGCUGUUAUAUUUUAUUUGUUGCAGUUAUUUUUUAUUUGACAGUUAUUGUGCAGUUAUGUUUUAUUUGUUUUCAGUGUGUAUGUUUGUGAUAGAAACCAAUUGAUACACAAAAGGAAAUAGGAAAAAUCCCUCUGAAUUACAAAAUAAUACCGCAGAAUUUCAAGGGUCAGCACCUCCUCUAAUGACAAAAUGGCCCCUUUCCAACCAAAUUCCAUCCUCUCUCUAAAUCACCCUCUCUAUUUAUAGGUAACUCUCAUUCUCCUAAUUAAUUAAUUCCUAUUCUAAAACUGCAUUUACAAAUGACAUUUAUCUUUAAUAAAAACUGCCUACUAAUAAUAAAAUUGUCUUCUAUUUACUAACAAGACCUUUACUAUCCUAAUUAAGACGCCUCGUGACUAACAAUAUGAUAGAAACCAACUGAUAUAUAAAGGAAAAUAGGGAAAACCCCUUUGAAUUACAAAAUAGUAUUGCUGAACUUCGAGGGGGGUCUGCACCUCCCAAUGCCAAAAUGACCCAUUUUCCUAUUCAAUUCCAAAUUGAUUAACUCCCCAAUAUCUUCCCUUAUUUAUUCUAAUAAUUUCCCACUAACUCCUAAUAAUUUAAUAUCAGUUACAAAACUGAAGAGUCUAACAAUACUCCCCCCUAAAGAUUCACCUUGCCCUCAGGGUGAAAGAAAUACACGGAAGGAAAAAUGUAUCCUCCUGGAUCCCAUAAUUUGAAAAAUAAAGGGUGAGUUGUACAUGAAAUAGGAAAUUUUCUUGCUAAUAGCAGUCCUCUUGUGACCAGUUGUUGUGGCCACAGUGGCACCGGUAGUGGAAAUUUCUUGUUCUUAGACUUUAUCUUAGGAAUAGUAGCAAACACCAACGAUAGUGAGUCUUUUGCUUGUGAUGAAAUAGCUGAAUCUCCAUCACUUCUCUGGACCUCUGCUUCACUGACAGCCAUCAAUGAAUCUGUAUUUUUCACUUUGUCGCCCUCGCAAUCAGAUUUGAUAUCCACUUUACAAACUUCUUUUUCACUGUAUUGUUGGAUUUGUGAAUAUUCAACUUUACCACUAUUCUUUUCUUCAGUUGGAGAUGCUAUUGGUUCUUGAAUUUCAUCGCUGCCUUGGAUUUCCUGUGUUUCGUUUUCAGACUCCAGUAGACAAUCCCAAACUUCUGGUUGGAACUUCUUGAGAAUGGCCUUUACAAAAUUCCACCAACAAGUAUUUGAAUGACUCUCCUUCCAAGAAAUCCACCAAUCAAGAGCAUCUCCUCUCAAUGCAAAUGCAACAGUCCACUCAAGCUUCAUCUCUUCACUCAUUCUUCUUGACCCAAAAUAUUGUUCUGCUUGGAUCAACCACCAAUAGGCCUCUCUUCCAUCAAAUCUUGGAAUCAUAUCAGCAGCCAUAUUUAUGCCAAAAUUUCCAGCACAACGGUAGAAUCUUUCUGGAUCAGAAUUGCUCUAAUACCCGUUGAUAGAAACCAACUGAUAUAUAAAGGAAAAUAGGGAAAAGCCCUUUGAAUUACAAAAUAGUAUCGCAGAACUUCGAGGGUCUGCACCUCCCAAUGCCAAAAUGGCCCAUUUUCCUAUUCAAUUCCAAAUUGAUCAACUCCCCAAUGUGUUCCCCUAUUUAUUCUAAACCUAAACACUCUUAAUUAAUAAUAUAAUUAUUCUAAUAAUUUUCCACUAACUCCUUAUAAUUAUUCACCUUUCUUCACUUUUGCUUUUACCUUUGAGCAAUCCGAAACAACAAACUCAAAGCCUCAAUUUUUAUUAGAGCUCUCUUCUUUUCUCCUUCUUCUAUGACCAUGGAUAUAAUGUUUUCUUGAUAAUUCCUUGAUUCCACUUCUUCAUCCUCUAUUGAAUCAGUUUCUGGCCGAAAUUGCUUGAUAAUUGCCUUUGUAAAAUUCCCCCAAGUGGCAAUUGGAUUGCCUGAAACCCAUAAUUGGUACUAUGCAACAUAUCUACCUGCCUGAAACCCAUAAUUGGUACUAUGCAACAUAUCUACCACUCAUCCACCGCACAACUUUUGGUAUUUGAUUUUCUUCUUAACAUAAACCUCCAGCAUCAAAAUAUUUCUCAACCUUGUCAUUCGUAACUCUUUGAGUACUCUUCUCCAAUCUAUAAAUUCCUUCAACAUAUCAUCAAAAAUACCAAACAUUCCUUCCAUUUGAUGACCACUCAAUUUUUUCCCUUUUUUUUCUGUCCCGGAUCAAAAGUGCUCUCAUACCAGUUGAUAGAUACCAACUGAUACACAAAAAGAAAUAGGGAAAAUCCUUAACUUUGAGAGUUUCCACCUCCUCUAAUAGCAAAAUGGCCCAUUUCCAACCAAAUUCCAAGAUAUCCUCUCUCUCAAUCACCCCCUCUAUUUAUAGGCAACACUCUCAUUCUCCAAAUUAAUUAAUUCCUAUUCUAAAAUUGCGGUUACAAAUGAUAGUUACUGCAAUUACAAAUGACCGUUAUCUUUAAUAAAAACUGCCUACUAAUGAUAAAAUUGCCUAUCGUUCUUUUACGACCAGGGAUAUAAUGUUUUCUUGAUAAUUCCUUGAUUCCACUUCUUCAUUCUCUAUUGAAUCAGUUUCUGGCCGAAAUUGCUUGAAAAUUGCCUUUGUAAAAUUUCCCCAAGUGGCAAUUGAAUUGCCUGAAACCCAUAAUUGGUACUAUGCAACAUAUCUACCACUCAUCCACCGCACAACUUUUGGUAUUUGAUUUUCUUCUUAUAAACCUCCAGCAUCAAAAUAUUUCUCAACCUUGUCAUCCGUAACUCUUUGAGUACUCUUCUCCAAUCUAUAAAUUCCUUCAACAUAUCAUCAAAAAUACCAAACAUUCCUUCCAUUUGAUGACCACUCAAUUUUUUCCCUUUUUUUUCUGUCCAGGAUCAAAAGUGCUCUCAUACCGGUUGAUAGAUAUCAACUGAUACACAAAAAGAAAUAGGGAAAAUCCUUAACUUCGAGGGUCUACACCUCCUCUAAUAGCAAAAUGACCCAUUUCCAACCAAAUUCCAAGAUAUCCUCUAAUAGCAGUUUGUAAUAAGAAUAAAUAGGAAAAGGGGCCAGAUAGAGGGGGUUAUCUUGGAACUAGGUGGUUAGUGAGAGAGACCAAACUCUUCAACAUUUAGAAAGGGUAAAGGCCAAGGCUCUUGAAAUCGUAGUUAUUAUGUGAAAUUUGUGUGAUUCUAUUAAGUUAAAUCUGUUUGUAUCAAUCAAUAUCAGAAAUAGUCCCAAAUCUAUUUUGCAUUGGACGGGUACCUAUCAAUUACUUAGUAAUUUCAAUACAUCAUAUUCAAUAGAUUGCAGACUCUAAAAUGAAGAUUCGAUUAACCUAUUACUGAAUUAUUUUAAUUUUUUCCAAUAUAAGAGAAAAAAAAUUAUGACAUGAGAGAAAGAAAAGGUUCAACAGAAAAGAAUGAGAUGUUCUUCUGAAGUAAAUCACAAUAAGAAAAAACAAAUAAACGAGAAAAAGUACAGUCCGUCAGCAAAGUUCUCCAAUGAAUGUAUCCUAAUUUGAUACAGGCAGAAUGGAUAUGCAGUACCUUAAGUUUUGAGGUUGUUAUCUCCAUCUUAAGAAGCACUCUCUCCAAACCUCUACAAACCUCAUCCUUUGUUUUUCCAUCAAUCGAAAUAAGCUGUCCCUUGGGUUCUAUCAGUUGUGAGAGUCAAAUUAAAACAAUAAAGGGUUGGUGAGAAUUCAAAACAUUUUGAAGAAUAAUGAAUGCAUAAUAUUAAUCAAACAACCAAAAUUCAAAGCAAAUUAUGAAUAUAGACAAACAUCUAUUUAUUCUCCUAAGAUAGAAAUAGUUGCACCAUCUACCCACACGGUUUUUCCAUUGAACAAAAAAAUCUUAUUUCAGUACAUGAUAGUAGACCUCCAAUAAAGGUUUAUGUUAGUAGAAAUAAGCAAGGAAGUAGGGGAAUAAAUAAACAACAUAACAAUUCCAAUUAGAUAGUUAGUUAUUGUAUAAAACAUGCACGAGUUGACUAUAGCAUGUAGGAGAGCUCCAGGUCUCUGAAAAACCAAGGUAUACUGCUCUAUUCCUUCUUUUUGUCCCUUUCGAGUGCCCAACUCAUAGAACAAUACAAGAGUUUAGGGAUUAAGAUUUGAGAGUGUACUCAAUGGAGCAUCUUGUAAUUUGAGAGCAAUAGAACCUUAAGGCAUUGGGAGAUAGGCAGACCCUUGAAGUGCUGCCAUUGUUGUAAUCAAAGGGGAUUCUUUCUCAUUUUCAGUAUAACACACCAGUUGGUUCUAUCAAUUGGAAAAGUAAGCUAACUGAAUGAUAAUCUCACUGUGAGAAUAUCCCCUACUGAUUUGAGAAUUACUCUCACUCCUCAGUCCCAAUUUCUUUUUCAUAAAACCCACCAUUUUUCCCUCCUCCUCAAUAUGUUAUAUCCACAUUCUCUUCCCUGAUUCUCUCAAUCCCCACCACUCCUAGACUGCCACCUGUCAAGUUAGUUGCAUUCCCUCUUAACCACCAGUCAAGUUAGUUAGAAGUUAGUUAGACUGACCAAUUGUCAAGUUAGUUAAAAGUUAGUUAGGCUGCCACCUUUUCUCUUUCUUUUCCUUUUCCUACCCUUCCUUCUAUACACAUACUUUGGAGACCUAUCAAAACUCCCCCUACCAGUGCAACCUUGUCCUCAAGGUCAAAUUCGGGGAACACUUGAGAGAUUGCACUAGAAUCCUCCCAAGUGUUUUCAUCUUAAGACAGUCCCUCCCACACAAUCAGCACCUGUUCAAAUCCAUUCAAUAGUCUCCUCAUCCCAAAGCUUCCUUUGGUUGAACUUGUAGCUCCAACUCUGCAUUCAAACACUAGUAACGGCUGCACCGCAACACCAGUCCCUACUGCUUUCUUCAGCUGAGAUACAUGGAACACCGGGUGUAUUUUAGAAUCGGAUGGUAAUGCCAAUUUCUACGCUACAUUGCUAAUCUUGCCAAUAACUUCAAAUGGCCCAUAAAAUUGUGGACUCAACUUUUCAUCGGAUUGAUUAGUUAAGGACUUGAACCUAUAAUGUUGUGCCUUCAAGAACACCUAAUCCCCCAACUCAUAUGUCACCACUUUCCUCUUUUAUCUGCCCACUGUUCAUGCUAUUAUGCGCACUGCUCAACUGCUCCUUUAAGUUUCCGAACACAGAAUCACAUUCCCCUAGGGGUUGAUCCACCCCCUUCAACUAUCGCCCCCUCAUGAGGGUAUUUGCUCACACUGAUGCUUCCUCCCUCCCAUACAUUGCCUUAAAUGGGCUCAUGCCAAUGAAGCAUUGUAAUACCAGUUGAACCAAAAUUCAGCCCAUGCUAACCAUUUUACCCAUUGUUUCGGUUGUCUAUUCGCAAAACACCUCAAAUACGCCUACAAUGUCAAUUCGUUACCUCUGAUUGCCCAUUUGUUUGUGGAUGUUAAACCAAGCUGAACUUCAGUUUGGUCCCUGCUAAAGUGAACAACUCACGCCAAAAAAAAAGACUCAUGGACACCUGGGCUCGAUCAGAGAUGGUGGAAGUCGGAAACCCGUGUAACUCCACCACUUCAUUGAUGAACAUCUCAGCUACUGUCCUUGUUGUAUAAGGGCGACUCAAGGCCAUGAAAUGAGCUUCUUUGGACAGCCUAUCUACCACCACCAUUAUAGUGCCCUUCCUUUGUUGAUUUCGGUAGUCUUCCAAUAAAAUCCAUCGUGAGAACUUUUAAGAGAAUGUCGACCUCCCAAUGCCAUAAGCCCUAUUCCUCUCAAAUUACAAGAUGCUCCCCUCUCUAAUUCUCCUCCUAUCUAUUUAUAGGCAGAAUGCCUUAUAUAUUUGGCCUAACUAGCUCUCAACAAAACUACUAACUACCCCAUUAACUAAUUAACUAACCAGUAACAAUUUCUUAAGUAACAAUAAGAGACCUAACAAAUACCUGCAUAAGUACUGAGAAGGAAAUUAUGUAAGAUUGUAAUAAGAUCAUAUCAAAGAACUCAAAAGGUGCAUCAUAUAGUACAUGUAAGACCUUUUUAAUGAGUAAUCAGCAGCAUCAAUGCAAAGAUUACCUGAACUGUUCCCAUGAUGUGGCAACUAUGAUUGUUGACUAUGGCAACUAUCAGAUAAAAUAUCAUGCCAUGAGUCAUGACAUGACUCACAUGAUAAUUUAUGUGAUAGUUGCCAUAUUUUCGGUUGGAUAUGGCAACUAUCACAUAAAAUAUCAUGUCAUGAGUCAACAAUCAUUGAUGUAACACACAACGCUUCACAUCCGGUCAUGUAUGGAUGUUGUCAAUACCUUCCUUGUGAUGUUCAAAAGUACAAUUAAUGUACCAGCACAACUUCAUAAAUCAACACGAAAUGAAAUGUAGUUACCGAUUCGGAGCAAUUAGAUUAGUAGCUUGGAACCUAUUAAAAGUGAACGCGAUGCAGAGCCGGUUUCGACGCCGAAAUGUAUGGAAUGUGUAUUCGUUUUCGAAGCUAUGAUCGUGACAUUGAUUGGUAGAGAGAGAGAGAGAGAGAGACGUUAACAAUGGGAUAACGAACCUUUGAUAUUCGCUCUGCGUUUAGUUUUGAUACCGCUACGGUGAAGAUGACGGGGUAGUGGUUCAGUGCGGUCAUUUGCACUGUCUAAAGGUGGUGUCUACCCUUGGAAUACUGUAUCUUCGUAUGGUGUACUGUACAGAUAAAACGAAUACAAUGAGAUAGACCAUAAAAUACACGGAACCUCCAAACUCUGCUUCGUUUUCGGCUGUAUUGCGACAAGAGACUAAAAAUAAAACGGGCCAGGCCCAUUCGCUGUAGCAAAAUCAUUUCACUCAUUUUUGAAAAUUCUGAGAAGAUAUCGGAAAUUUUGAAACAAUUACCAAAAAUUUCAAAAAUUAUAUGUUUUAUACCGUAAAUAUCAAAUUUUCCGGGAUUUUUACCGGAAAUUCCAAAAUUUAUGAUAUUAAUUCUAACAAUUUUGUAAGAAAUUUCAAAUUUUUCGGUAUAAAAUCCUAUUUGGUUUCCCGGAAAUUUAAGAAUUUUCGCUAGUUAUAAACCUUGGUUUUUUUAUCGAAAAUUCUAAAAUUUCUGGUAGUUGUAAUUUUUUUUAAAAAAUUUCCUUCUUUUACAGUGAAAUAUAGAGGCAUGGACGACAUUAUUGUAGGUAGAACUAUCGAUAGAGCGGCAGACCAGACUAGGGUUGUUGAGGCUGAGUCUUCCCGGAUGCAUGCUGGACGAAUGGUUCCAACUGGUUCAUUCAACUUUGACAUCAUGCCGGCGAGAGAUGUGGUGUCAUCUGGAAGUCAAAACUCUAUGGGAGGUGAAACAUCGUUGAAGUACACGCCUUAAUAAAAAAUUGAGGAAGAGACAUUUUUUGAGAUGUUUUUAUCAAACACAGGUCACCCCCUAUUUAUACAACUUUGCACUUAUUCUGGACCACACAAAACUGUCGGGUAAUCACAAACAUCCAAAACUGUCGGUAAAAUCCUAAAUGUUUAAAAUUUCACACAAAUAACACUACCGGAAAUUCUAAUUUGGUUGAAAUUUUCGAUAUCGCCUAGUAAAUUUCAAAUUUCCAAAAUUAUUUGGAAAAUAUCGGAAAUUGUGAAAUUUCCGGUCUACCGGAAAUUUUGUUCGUACCAGAAAUUUUAUUUUUGCCUAUCAAAUAUUUCAAAUUUCAAUCAGGGACAAUUUUGACAAUAUAAAAGUAUGAGGGGUGUCAGGUUUAAUUGGGGGAUGUAAAGUUGAAUGCUCUUUUUUAGGGGGUUAUUUAUCACACCUCAUUUGUUACUAAUGCACUAUGAGGAAAUUCCAAAAAUAACUCUCGAUUUUAUUUUUAAAAUUCAGACUUACUUAAAACACAACUCACUUUUUAAAGUUAGAAAUAAUCCUCAAAGCUAGAUAUUAAAAAGCUUCAGAGAUUGAAAUUCAGAAGCGCCUAACUGACCGCAUCCAGAUUGGAAUCAGGACCAUACAAUUUUCAAAUUAAUCUGGAUUUCAAAUUUCAGAUUUAAUCCAAAGAUAGGAACCUGGGCACUUUUGUUUAAGUAAACUCACACUUUUCCCUUUUCCUUCACAUUUCCAUUUAUACAAAUGAGGAGACACAAAGAAUACUUUUACUAAUAAAAUAGAUGAGUUUUCUAGCUUUUGUUAAGAAAUAGGUGUAAUCUGAAUGAGCAAUGGUGCAGAAAGUAUGAGAACCAAGGUGGAAUUAUACAACACAUGAUGGCAAGCAAAAUAAUAUGAUUAUGCCUACCAUAUGGUGAUUUGGUCACAAAGAUCUUGGAAUUCAUCGGCUUCAACCUUCAAGAAGAAGAUUUUAAGGAAGAUGUGACAAAUAUAGGAAAAUUUGCACUACCAAUACUGAGGUAUGAGAUUAUUAAUGGAAAAAUAAUUUCAAAUUCUUCCAAAGGAAAGAAAAGAGGAAAGGGUUAGCAAAAUCUAGAAGCACCUAUGAAUCUAGAAUAUUUUGAGUAUGAUAUUCCUGAAAUUGCCUCUGUUGAAGACCUACUCGAGGAAAUAAUCAAGAGACUAAAGAGGACAAACGAGAAGAUCAAUUUCAUAAAAUUUCACUUUUCCCAAUACUUAAGACAUAUACCUUCAUGAAUGUUCACUGAUGAUGAUGAGCAUAGUGGCGAGUAGUUUCGCCUAUGUGUUUUAGUCUUUUAGUGUGUUUAAAUUCAAUCUUUUCUGCAUUAUUUAGUUUUAUAUUUUCUGUACUUUUAGCUCCAGUAUGUUUUGAAUUAAUAAAAUGUUUGUUUUUCUCUUUCUUAAAUGUUUGACUAAGUGCUUGAAUAUGUAAAUUUAUGUCUUGCAUCUUUACCUGCCUUUUUUAUUAUGACAAAGAGGGAGAAGUAUGCUCUUCGGGAGAGUAAAGUUUACUGUUUACUCGUGUGAAUGAGAGUUUAACCACUCAAACCUUUAUCUACCAGUUUUCUUUUAACAUCUUUGUGGAACCUUAUUUUGUAUGUGAUAUGCUUUUAACAAGGACGUCGACUUUUUAUGAUGACAACUAAUGUUUUGUGAUAAGUCAAGCAAGAACGGUUAAGCGGAUAAAGAUGCAAAGAUUAUCAUUAGGGUUUGAUGGACUUGAUUAUCUAAUGAUGGCAAUCAAAUAUAAAGUAAUGUAAAGCCUCAUUGUAGGCUACUCAAGAAAGUUUCCAUAGAAGUGAAGUAUAUGACAAGUCUUGAAGUACUGGAGAAUCCUCCUAAUUUAGUAGUGAGUGAACCUACUAUAAAAGUAUAAGCACUUUAUCAUAAAAGUGCAUGGAUAAAACGCAGGCACAUAAUGAAAUUUCAAAAUAUUUUUUACCAAAAACAAAAUACCUUCAAAAAUAUCUUGAAGUUUUGCCAAAUGAAUUAGGAACUGCAAAAUAGCUAUAGGAAAAAUUUUGACUUGGGAAAUUUGUCUAAUCGAUUAACUCAAUUCAAAAUUGAGCCACAAGCGAUUGGAACAUCACCUUAAUGAUGUGCAACAGUUAGAUAUCUUUUCCUUCCUUUUAUAAACUUAUAAUCGAUUUUAUUUCAAACUUCUAAUUGUUGUGAAUAUGUGUCAUUUGAUUAGAAUGUCAUAAAAUGCUUUUAUUGGAAUUUCUUUUUUUUAUCCAACCUUUAGCCUAUAAAUAGAGGUCUCGUUUCUCAUUUCAUUUCAUCCAAAAUCGUUUUUUGUCACCUCUCUCUCUCUCUCUCUCUCUCCCUAAAGUUAUAUUUAAUUUUCUCUCACUAAAGUUUUAGCCUAAGUGAUUUUAUGAGAAAAAUCCUUUUGUGAGUGAGGAGAUAAUUAUAAUUCUAGAAAGGGUGGAUUGUAAAUUCAUUGAGGGAAUUUUUCGUAUACACCUUGGUUGAAUAUUAUUCAUUUAGGGAUUUGUUUGGGUUGGAAGUUAAACCCGUAAAAAGCUUUGGUUUGGAUUGUGUGACUCAAUCCUAGUUUAGGUUGGAGAUCAGCCCAUGGUAAAAUCUCCUAGGUUCUUGGUCAUCCCGUUAUUAAAACCAAUAUAGGUUAAACCUCAGUCCAAUAUUAAAAGCUUCAUAGGUUCGAGAUUAGUUCAGUGUUAAAAUCUCACAGGUUAUUGGUUAUCUUGUAUAAAACCAAGGUUUAAGGUUUGUGAGCUCAUCCCAUAUACAAACUUGCAAGGUUUAGAAACUUGAAGACUAACCGCUCUAAGGUCCUCUAUAUAUCAUGGUUUUAAUCUUUUUCCCUUAACUUUAUAUAUCGUGGUUUUAAUCUUUUUCGAUGAACUCUUUUAAUGUCCUCAUUUUAUUUUCUGCCUUUUAUUUUUUCGCUGCUAAGUUUUUCAAAAAUGUUUUUAAAACCUGAUUUGAUUUCACAAAUAUUUUUAAAAUCACAUUUUUCCAAACCACACAAUUCACGCCCCUCUUGUGUAUGAAGUCUCAAGUCUAACAAGUGGCAUCAGAGUUAAUUCUUGUUUAACGACUAAUCUUCUCAAGAGGAAGAUGACUUUUGAAAAGAUAUAUUUUCUAAAUACACCACCACUUUUUAAUGAUAAUAGAUUUAAUAUUUGACAAGCUAGGUUUAGAAUUUUUCUUCAAAACAAAAAUCAUGAUUUGUGUAAAACUAUAGUGAAUGGUACGGUUUACCCUACUUGUCAAUAAAAUGAUGAAGUAGUAUAUAAACCUUAUUCCCAUUGGCUUGAAGAAGAAGAGAGAAAGAUAUGAAUAGAUCUUAAAGAGAAUAACUUUAUAAAAAUGUCUCUAGAUUAUAAUAAACUUUAUGAUGUCCACCAUUGUAAAACCUCCAAAGAAAUGUGGGAUGCUCUUGAAAGGAUAUGCGGAGGUUUUCCAAGUAUUGAAUAAGAGAAGUUGAACACACGAGACAAAGAAGAUAAUGAUACCCAUCAUAAAUGCUUUUCUAAUUUUAGAAAUACUGGAAAUUUUGUUGGGAACUCCAUUAAUAAAAAAUAUCUGAGAAUUAAAUAUUGGAAAUUUAAUCCAAUUCUUAAAUCAAAAGAUGAGAGCCUUCAUAAAUUUCAGGAAAAAUCAAGAAAGAAGGAAAUCUUAUAAAAGUUGAACAAUCCAGUUCAACCGCUGAAAGAUGAAGGAAUCCAAACUAAAGGAUCAUCAUCCUCACUUACUCCUAUCAUAUAACUCAUGUGAAACCCUUUGAAAGAACACACUCAGUAGUUAAAUGAUCCUCAGAAGAUUCAACAUCCAAUGAAGGAUCCUUUUGUUCAAAUAAUGAUAAAAAAAUGAAGAAGUUUCUUCAAUAAUCGAACGAAGAAGAGGAAGAGAAACAUCAACCUCGGGAGAAAUAUGGAAAAGUAUUCUUCCAACGAAGAAGAUGAAAUCUUCUUAAAGGCAUCUUACGAGGAAAUACAUUAUUCUUGGUAUCAAACCAUCUUAUGCACAGUUAUUUAAAAUGAAUGGUCAAUUAGUGGAAGAAAGUAAUAGACUGAGAAAGUGUACCCUAAGUCUCAAGGAAUCCCUAAGAUAUAUUAAGGAAAUAAACAAAUGUUUCAAAAUAGAUAUAACCUUGCUUAGAAACUCGAAAGAAGAAUUUAAGCAGUGUGACUCCCUUAUAAAAGAAGUAACUAGGCUUCGUGAAACCUUAGGAAAGUUUACGCAUGGGAAUGAAAAGCUUAACUUGAUUUUAUCUAGUCAAAAGCAUUCCCUAAAUACAAAUGGAAUGUGAUUUAAAAUGGAUAGACAACCUAGGAAAGGUGUAGAUCAAAAGGAAAAUAAACCUCUCAUUUUUAAUCGAUAAAACGAUCUCAGGACUUAAGUAUACAAUAUAUAUGAAAUCUCUGAGAUGAGGAUAAAACGAUAAAGGAAAAUGUCAACAGUUUUGAUAAAAGAAAGUUAUUAGAGAAUAUCUCAAAAGAUAUGAUCCUAAAUAAUAAGUUGAAUGAAUAUGUUUGUGAUGGACUUAUUCAUUUUUUGGUUUUACCCACUCUCACACCCAACAAUCUGUGAAGGAGGAUAUACCAUUUUCGUGUCUUCCUUUUUGGGAAAUAUUUAUUAAGACUUCUUGAUAAAAGAGGUAAAAUUAUUUUAAGGUUGAAAUAAUCAGAAAUAUUUGGUUAAACCCUUAAAAUAAUAUUUUUUUAAUUUUUUUCUCAUCUAAAUAAGUUAUUCUCUAACCAUAAGUGAGUUUUUUGGCUUCACAUUGCAAGAGGUGCAAACAAAAGCCAAAUAAAGGUACAUAACACAAAGCCCAAAACAAAAAAUGUUGAAUUGGAUCAAAACAAUCGAUUGGCACUUGUGUCCAAUCGACUAGAAUGCUCAAAAAUUAAAAAAUUCAAACAUUGGAUCUCACCACAAUAGCAAGUAGGAUGAGUAAUUACGACAACAGUUACUUGCAACAGAUAACUCCUUUUUUCCAAUUUCUAAUUGAUUAGGAUAAUUUGUUGGAUAGUGCCUAUAAAAGGAGGUAACUUCACAUCCUUAUCAUCUCAUCAUUUUCAUACAUGUUCAUUGCAUUAUAAACACAUUAGCUUACUCACUCAUCAUCAUCACCUUAGAAAUGGCCAAAAAGAGAACUUGUUCUUCCUAACCUCGAUAUUCAUACUUCUCUAAAGAUUUCACCUCUCAAGCUCAAGUAACAAACUACAACCUCUACUACUUCGAUAGAUAAAUCUUCCCCUAUCACUAUUUAGAUGAAUAUCUCUUCUAAGAUUGCUCCUUCAUGGAAGCAUUCACUACUGCAGGAUUGAGGAACUUUGUUUUUGAGAAUCCGUCUGAGAGGUACCCAGAUUUUGGUAAAAAUGUUAUAUGUAAAUAUCUCCUAUACAAAUGGAUUCAUUUACUCAUAUGUGCAACCUGCCUUUCAUAAAGCAAGAUUAUGAUCAAAUGGAUCUUGAAGGCAAUGAAUUUAACUCUGACACUCUUGCUCACUCGCUCCUUAUUAAUCCCACUUCCACUAUUCCAUUUACCUUCAAUGUUGGACUUAUUUUCCAAAAAUAUUAGACUAAUCCACUAUACCAUGAGCCGUGUUCGGUUCCCAAGGAAGGAUAACUAUAUCACCCUAUUAAAAUCAAAUAUCCCUAUUGUCUGGUUCUUAGAAAACCAAAUCCCGAAAAACUAGGCAGAUGCAGUUCUUCAUCAUAUGAUAGAUAGCAAAAGUAAAAACAACAUAUUACCCUAUGAUAAAUUGAUCACAAAAAUCCUUCA